UACGCCACCAAAAUCGGAAACUUCCUCCUCCCCUCCCCCAUAUCAACGCACUUCCCUUCCACCUCCCCUCGCCCAUAUCAACGCAAUUCCCUUCCUCCUCUUGUACGAAGGAUCCCUUCUUGAGCAGAUCAAUCGUGGCCUGCCCUCCUUCCUGGGUCUCAUAGCUCGCCCCGCCGAUUCCACCACUGAGGUUAAAGGCACAAUAGGCGUGUCUUGUUCAGGAACUGGGACGGCAAGGAGAUCAAUCCUCACACCCGAUUCACAGAAACAGUAGAAUUUUAGGGAGCCUUCAGAUAGAGUGGAUUGCUCCUGGUAACUGCUGGGGUGUUAGGUGCGGACGCGUGCAGUAUUUCAAUCUAGUUCUGCACCAUUACUACCUUGAUAUGUCACGGACAAGAAUUAAUGUUGUUGAAUCCAAUGAAGAAUAUAUGAUGGAAGAACCGAUCAAACAUCAUAGUUCUGUUGAAAAAGAUGUCGAAUCAUCUGAUGUCCAUGAAAAAGCUACUAACGAUGAAGAAGGCUUCACAGGUUGUGAUGAUGCUGAUGAAAAUGAAUAUGCUGAAAAUGCAGAAACAAAACGGCGUAAGUAGAGGAAGCUGAAAUAUAUUUGGAACCUUCCAAAAGGGAAAAGGAUAAUGGUUCGCUGCAAUGACAUAGAUCAGCCAAUUGGAAAAUAGGCUAAACAUCUUGGGGACUUUCUUGGCUCAGUUGCAAGGAAUGGAUCAUUCUGUUGCUUGAGCUACAAGGAUUGGAGAUUGCUCAAAACUAAAACAAAUGUAAAGGCUAUACUAGAUCAAGUGAAGAUGAAAUUAUGGAACUAGAUGAGAAGAAUGGAAAGACAACCAAAUCAGGAAAUUUCGGAUCCAAUGGCUACAAUUGGGCUUGAACCUUCGGUUGAUGGACACAACUCAAACAGAAAAAGAGUGCUUGCUCCUCCGGUUGAUGGACUCCAACUUGUUAAAAAACGAUCAAAUAAUUUACAGAACAAGCCAAGUGGAUCAAGCGAUGUAGAUUUGCAAGCAUCAAACAAGAAUUCUGUUUCAGAUAAGUUGCAUACACAAUACCCAAAAUUUGAUGUGUAUCAUUUUUUCCUAGAACAAAGAAACUAUGGUUCAUAAUGGUGGCAGUGCACGGCAACUAGAAAAAUGUUCUGUUGCACACAAGGUAUCAUCAUAGUCCUAUAUACAAAAUAAUGAUCAAACUAUAGUGCUCCCAUUUGUAUGUGUUUACCUGUUGCUAUCAGAAUGUUGUCCAGAACCAAGAAACUUAUGAUCAUAAUUUCAGUGCUUUGCAAGGGGAAAUAAAUUCUGCUGCACAUAAGGUAUAUUUCCGUUACCAUAUACAAUAUGUUCAAAAUACAUUGCUCCGAUGGUUAUGUAUCUACUGGCCGUCUUGCUAUCAGAAUGCUGUUCAGAACAAAGAAACUUUGCUUGAGACUGUCAGUGCACGUUAGGGAGAAAAAACUUCUGCUGCAAACAAACUAGUAUCUUUUCAUAAUCACAUACACAUUUCUGUUCAAACUAUAAUGUUGGCUUGUUUAUUUGCUUAUUACUUCUUCUUUGCUAUCAGACUGUUGUCGAGACCAAAAAAAACAACAAAAAGGUGCUAAUGCAAGCACUAAGAGUGCUCAUUGUGGUUCCCUGAGCUGGUUGGGUGCUAGUGAAUUAUCUGUAAGAGUGCUCAUUCAUUUGUUUCUAUUUUUUUCAUAUGGUUACUUUGAUUUUCUCUAACAGCCAGGAACUAAAGUAUUCUUGAAGAGCCUAAAAACCCAUAACAGGGAUGUAGCUCUUGCUACAAUUGUAAGUUGUGAUCCUGAAUUUAACCUUGAUGGUGCUGAAAUUAGGAAUGAAUUCUGGGCGGUGCAUGUUGAUAUGGCACUUGUGAAAACUGAAUAUUUGGUGGGGAGUCGCGAAAACUGUAAUACUCUCGGUAAUGUAGAAAAAACAAAAAUUGCAUGGCCCUCAACCUUUGUACAUGACUAAUAUCUUGCCUCUGUUAUUACUUGCAUCAUGUCAAUGCAUUGUUUGUUAACAGUCCAUUUUGUUUUCUUUUUUUGUAGAUUCAAAAGAUAAAUGGAUGAGUAUAUGGGUGCGUGUCAAGUGUACUACAACGAUGAUGUUGAUGUUCUGCCUCAUGAUGGUGACAAUGAUGGAUGCUUCCAGUUUUAGUUAUGUUGUGGGGAUGACCUUCCUGUUGGAUGUCGUUCCUCGAUCAAGUUUUAGUUAAGUUGUAGGGAUGUUGAUGGAUUCUUUCAGUUAAAUUUCACUGUCAAGAAAAUAGUUAGAUUAUGCUUCACAUUUGGAUGAUGUUCCUUUUGUAAUAUCCACUAUUGUAAUCCAACAAUUUUAUCUCAUAUAUGAUAUAUGAUUUCUUCCUCUUGUCA